GAUGAACGCUGGCGGCGUGCCUAACACAUGCAAGUCGAGCGAACAGACGAGGAGCUUGCUCUCCUGCUGUUAGCGGCGGACGGGUGAGUAACACGUGGAUAACCUACCUAUAAUACUGGGAUAACUUCGUGAAACCGCAUCCAAUACUGGAUAACAUGUCGAACCGCAUGGUUCAACAGUGCAUGACGGUCUUGCUGUUACUUAGAGAUGGAUCCGCGCCGCAUUAGCUAGUUGGUAAGGUAACGGCUUACCAAGGCAACGAUGCGUAGCUGACCUGAGAGGGUGAUCAGCCACACUGGAACUGAGACACGGUCCAGACUCCUACGGGAGGCAGCAGUAGGGAAUCUUCCGCAAUGGGCGAAAGCCUGACGCAGCAACACCGCGUGGGUGAAGAAGGUCUUCGGAUCGUAAAGCUCUGUUGUUGGGAAAGAACAGAAGUAUGUGUAACUAUGCACGUCUUGACGGUACCUAAAGAAAAAGCCCCGGCUAACUUCGUG
rnacentral:rRNA from 1 species